GCGGCUGUAGCUCAGUUGGUUAGAGUGCCGGCCUGUCACGCCGGAGGUCGCGGGUUCGAGCCCCGUCAGCCGCGCCA
rnacentral:tRNA from 1 species